CGUACAAGAAAGACAUUUAUAGAUAUUAUUGCAUUCCUACGAAAGUCAUUAUACGCGGAAAGAAUCACAAAGCAAAUAUAUUUGAAUAGGCGAAUAAAAGUCUGUUAAAAAUUCCAAUUCAUCCAUCGUGUAUUGAAUUUGUGUCGGUUAUCGAUUAAAUUACGAAAAUAUAACAAACGAUUUAACAUAUUUGGCUUGUUUGUAUGAGAUUUGGACACAAUUAUGAAGAAUAAAACAAGAUUGGUAAAAAUAAUGCAAAUUCGAAUCGAUGCAAUAUAUUCUUGCGACAAACAGCAGCUUUCUGAAAUCAACACAAAUUCGUGAGGAAACUAUUUGUUUAUCUGAAAUUGAUGAUUUUCACGGUUUACAUAGCAAGCACUGGUGGAUAUUCGCAAUUCCUACGUUUAAAUACACACAGAAAAUAAUCAAACUAUGAUGUUAUGGAUGUUUGUCGAUCCAACAGUAUCAAUCACGCCAAAAAAAAAUUUGUAUAACGCGUUAAUUUGCAUUCGCUUACGUUCCGUAGUUUUAUAUUUACUUUCGCCCAGAGAAAACAAUAAAUUUCUGUUUACGAUUAUUUUAUAGGCUACAAACUAGUUCUAUAGACUACAGGACAUCUUUUUUAUUAAAAACGAAAGAACCCUUUCAAUUAAAUUGUGCGGUCUUUACAUGGUUAAGUAAAAAUUGGCGCAAAAAUAGAAAACGCAUUCAAGCGUAUCUUCGACAAUUUUCAGAGACAUGACUAUUUUCCAGAACAUUUUCUGCAUUAAUUUUUAGUGAUUCUAAUACAAAUAUAUUCACUAAACCGUUUUUGUAAUUUGAAAGCACACGAACAUUAUUCUUUGACUGUUUUCUAAAAUAACUUGAGAAAUCAAAUGUGUACAUAAUUAUGCCGGAAACUAUAUUAAAAAUGGAAACAGCUUAAUGAUAUGCGCGACAAGUGACGACAUAGGAGGAAAAUGUGUAACUGUCGCGAAAGGUUAAAUCGACGACGCGUAAAGAUAUUUAUGACGUAAUCGCAGGGAGUGUAUAUGGGCAUGGGAAGGAGCGAUUUUAGUGACCCAGUUUGCAAGUGGCAGUUACCGCCGCCGCCACUGCAGCAUCCUUGGCUACGGAUGUGAACUUUUUGCCCGUCGUCGUGUCGGAGCAGGCGCGCGAGGGUGAAGGUCAAGGGCGAAAAAUACGUAAAUCCCGGGACCGGACCGGAGCAUUUCCCGAAAGGGAGGAAGGAAGGAAGGAACCAACGGGAAGCGGAACGAGAGCGGAGCGUGCCUAUCUAGGUCGAGAAAACAGUGGUUGGGUCGAAGUGGUAUCGAAGGACGAUUACCGUCGGAUGGCGCGCGUAAGUGGCAAGAAGCACGCCGCUCCUUCGGCAAAUACGAUAAAAGUACACCGGAAAAUGACGAAAUGAUACCCCCUAGGGAAUUUAUUUCACGUCGCAUGCUUCAAUGCAAAAGACAUUACGCGAAGGACGUGAAGUAUAGUCUGCACAAUCAAUAUAAUGCUAAAGAGGCUGAAUGUGUGUAAAUAUGAAGUUGUUGUGGAUUCUUUUCUCUCUCUUGAGAGAGAAAUUUUAUACUUUCAUAACAGAAAUAAUUUAAAGAUAUAUCUUUUAAGAGAUACUCGCUACAUAAGUAUAUUUACAAUGUUUCUCAAAAGUAAUGUUGUCGUUUUAAUAAUUAUUUUUAAUGAAAUUAUUUUUAUCAUCCUUUUUCAUCACAAAACUUUUCAUUUAGUUUCUUAAUUAUUCCUCUACUCUUUAGUUAUAUGUACAUAUUUGACUAUAUAUAUAUUUGAUUAUACUAAAGUUUCCAAAGAUAAAGAUAAGGCAAACGUACUAGUGGCUGAACAUGUAUCUAUACCUGAACACGUACACAAAAUGUAUUAAUCUUAAAUACUUUUUUCAUUAUAAUAUCAAAAUUGAAUUGUAAAAAUAUUUAAAGAUUACAAUUAAAUUAUAAUAUUAUAAAAAAAAUCAUUUAAAAAUAAAUUUUUGUGUACUUGUUCAGUUUUACACGUUCAGCCACUGGUACGUUUACCUUAAAUGUUGAAAUAAUUUUCAUUCAUAACCGUUACUAUAAAGUUACAUGUAUAUAUUUUUUUUUUAACUUCAAGACCUUCAAGUAUUAAAUUGUUGAGAAAUACAGAGUUCAAAGAGAAUCUGGCUCGAGAUCGGUCCGAAGAUUUGUGACAAAAAACACGAGCGUGGCGAUGUAUGCGUGCAUGCACAUCGCAUAAUAAAAGCCAUCCAAUUAGCGAUACGGCGGAAUUAAUGUCGCUGUAGCGAAGAUAAGGGCUUCGGCCGUUGCGCAAUUUUCGCAUGGCACACAGGCGUGUUUUUCUGGUUUCCCAGAUUGGUCCGAGAUUUUCACCUCGUGGUCGGGUCACUAUCGGACGCAAAAUAUCGCGAUCGACCCGCGGGCGAAAACGAGUUGCAUGCAACGAACUGGCGUCCGUGGACAUCGCUCGACAGCGCACAGAGGCGGCGGCGGUGAAGAAACCGCUCUCUACCGCGGAUACAUAAAAAAUGUAUCAAGAUAUCAACGCAUAACCAAACCAAAAUACAAAGGGGAACAAAAGGCAGUUGGCAGCGCGCCCAAAAAGUGAAUCCCGAUAUCGAGCAUAUAUGUCACGUGCACGAGAGUUCCGCUUUUUUUCACGGGUUAUCACUGAUUUUUUUCUUUGAUAGUCGGUCGCCGAAGCACAAUGAACUGUCCAAACUGUCCCAGCUCUCCUGUUUUUUACGACCGGUCGAAAUGAGAAAUUUAUGCGUUUUACACCAAAACAGACAAGUCUCUGGUGACACUUUUAAAAAAAGCGAGAUUCUCGUUUAUCCGUGAAAAUACAGCUGCCGCGUACGAUACGCUCGCAUCGCAAGCUUCGUGAAAUAUGUAAACAUCAUGAAAUAAUAAAUUCAUUUCUCUCUUAAAAAAAAAUGA